GUGGAUUAGAUACCCUGGUAGUCCGCACAGUCAACGAUGUACACUUGGUGUCUGGGCAAGAGCCUGGGUGCCGAAGCAAACGCGAUAAGUGUACCGCCUGGGGAGUAUGCCCGCAAGGGUGAAACUCAAAGGAAUUGACGGGGGCCCGCACAAGCGGUGGAGCAUGUGGUUUAAUUCGAUGGUACGCGAGGAACCUUACCUGGGUUUGACAUACACAGGAAUUAUUUAGAGAUAAGUAAGCGUAGCAAUACGUCUGUGAACAGGUGCUGCACGGCCGUCGACAGCU
rnacentral:rRNA from 1 species